UGUCUGUGUCUUUUUAGGGUAGAUCACACGACCCGUCUCUCAUGGUGAAAAAAAGAGCGUAAUUUCCUCUCCACGUUGCAUAGAAAAAAGACACAGAUAUCCCCAAUCUAAAUGUAUUAUUUUAGAUACCGAUAUAAAUCAAUGUAAAUAAAAUACAAAAUUGCUCACCUUCUUUAGAGCCUGUGGUAACUGGCUCUAAGUAUUUUUAGCCUAGUGUCAGUUAGUAGGGGUGACACUUCCCC